GUGUCUUGGAUCAGACUUAUCCUGUCUUGGACGAUGUGAUGACAUACCAAUCAUGCUUAAUAUAAUUACACUGAGUCAA
rnacentral:snoRNA from 1 species